rnacentral:rRNA from 1 species
UACGUAGGGACCGAGCGUUGUCCGGAUUCAUUGGGCGUAAAGAGCUCGUAGGCGGCCACUCAAGUCGAAUGUGAAACCUCGAGGCUUAACCUCGAGCCUGCAUUCGAUACUGGGCGGCUAGAGUCUGGUAGGGGGAUCUGGAAUUCCUGGUGUAGCGGUGAAAUGCGCAGAUAUCAGGAGGAACACCGGUGGCGAAGGCGGGUCUCUGGGCCGUAACUGACGCUGAGGAGCGAAAGCGUGGGGAGCGAACAGG